CGGAUCGCAGGCUGCAACCCGCCUGCGUGAAGUCGGAAUCGCUAGUAAUCGCGGAUCAGCAUGCCGCGGUGAAUACGUUCCCGGGCCUUGUACACACCGCCCGUCACACCAUGAGAGUCGGGAACACCCGAAGUCCGUAGCCUAACCGCAAGGAGGGCGCGGCCGAAGGUGGGUUCGAUAAUUGGGGUGAAGUCGUAACAAGGUAGC
rnacentral:rRNA from 1 species